rnacentral:lncRNA from 1 species
UUCUCGCAAUAUUUGUACUGUAUGCACAAUAAAUACGAGUACGUACUACGUGGUGCACUAUCCGGGAAUUUUACGAAACUAAACACCUUUAAUGCACCAAAAUUUGAGCUUUAAUUAGAGGUAAAUUUCUAACCAUGUCGCUGAAUGGGAUGCGUGGAGAUGGGCUUAAUUGCAGCCACUGGACUGAUACAGAAACGAGACAUUUGAUAAAGAUUUGGAGAAAGCCUUUCGUACUCGCAGAAAUUCGCGAUCCAUCUUCUAAACAUAAAACCGUGUACAAACGAAUCGCAAAAAGGAUUGCUGCAGAGGGGUACCACCGCGAUGAAUGUCAGGUAAGAAAUAAAAUCCGAACAAUGAGCACGAACUUUAAGAAGCUUAUGAAAAUGAAGGACAGAACCAACUGGACGGGACAGGGAAAACAAACUUUUCUGUAUUUCAAUGAACUGCGUGAAUUUUUAGAUGGCUCUUUUUCAACAUGUGCCAGCGAAUCGGCAGGUGAGGCGACAGCGCUAGGUGCCGGUGGGGGACAAGGUGGGGACAGCCCGAACUCUCCAACAGCACAGACACAGCCUCUCCUGCAACUGAGCAACAUAAAAGUGGAGAACAACCAUGAGCGGGUACCUGCAACUACUGCUGCUUUCGACAGGACGAGCUGUUUGUUAAAUGAUGAAGCCUCACUCAUCAAUACAAGUGGAACACCUAAUCGUCAGUUAGACAAAUUUUCAUCCGACAAAGAAUUUGAUGACAUUGAUAGUAGUCAAGAGAUACAGGUACAUCCAGUGACCGAGGCAGGGUGGAUUUCUGAAGAAGAUGAAUUUGUUAGUGAAGAACCAAGGGCUAAACUGAGAUGCAAAGUUAAUUUACGUCAUCCAAAGCGAGAAAGGACAAGGAACACUAAGAAGGACGAGACAGUAAAAGACCUUAUGAAGACCCUCCUGGAGAACAACGCGCAGCGAGAUAAAGUAUUGAUGGAUGCAGAAGAUGCUCAUAGAAGAAUGGAGGCAGAGAGACACACUGAAGAGAUCCGACUUCUACGGGACCAGAUACAGCUAGAGCGGGAAAGAUUACAGUUUGAGCGGGAUGAGAGGGAAAGGAUGGAGCUCAUUAGGAAAGAGGAGGCGGCAAGAAGUGAAAGAUUUCGAAGGGAAGAAAUGGAAAGGACAGAAAAGGCACGUCUAGAUGAGAGAGAUCGAGAAGAGCGGCGCUUUGCAUUGAUGAUGGCUCUGACUAAGGGGACACAGAAUAACAGCAAGUAGCUCUUGUGAACAUGAGCAUCAGUCUUCUGAUCUGUUGAUCCACAAUUCCAAGUACUGUUAUCAAGAAUCAUGUUGAUGUCUCCGGAGUCUCUGAAGAUAUAUAUAUGCAGAAAGCCAGAAACAUUUGGUUGAAAUAACAAGGAUACAAUUACUUGGUUUGGAGACAGCCGAAAAAAUCAAAUAAUAUUCUCUCUUCUUGGAGCUCUUAGAUUUUUUAGAUUAAAUGUGAGAUGACAUCGCAGCUCUUCUCUUUCUUUUCAGCAGAGUCCUUUAACCUUCCAAAGCUGAAUUGAUCUCCACUCCAAUGUUUUCCCUACAUGACCCAGUUUUAUUCUCAGGAUUUCUUGGGGAAAUGUUUUCAAGGACAGUUCAACAGGAUAUUUGCAUGAAUAAUGUGCCAAAUUAAUAUUAUGCAUACAUUCACAAAAGGCCCAUAAUUUUACAAAAUUUAGUUACAGUAUUUGUUUUAUGUCUGACCAGCUGACUGGUCUCGACUUGUAAGUAUUAAAUGCAAUACAAUUUUUUACAAUUCGUUCACCUUCUCAGCCCCUUCACCUUGCCAAGUAAUACAGUUUUGAUAAUCUAUUUUGUAGCAAAAAUCACCUAGUCUGUUGGUGUGUGAAAACAAUUACCGGUACACGCAAGAUUUGAUAUUGUUUAUUAGAUUGUAUAAAAGCAAUCUACAGACUAAAUUGUUUAUUUAUUUUUAAAAAUGAGAGAAAUAAGAUCUGUGAAAAUUUGAGCAACCUCUGAUGAGAAAUGAGAAUGUUUUUAAUUUUUGAAGUUUUAAUCAAUCAAACACGAUUGGCAAAUCUGACCAAUCUUUCAAGGCUUUCGAGCUCCUCUCCUC